rnacentral:lncRNA from 10 species
UCUUGGGGGGGACCUAGGACAUUCUGUGAGCCUGCAGGAAAGUUUACCAAAUGCUGCAGCUUUGUCCUGGUGGUGAUGGGCACCCCGUUAACGGCAACCUUGCAUUUGCUAUGUGGAGUGACCGUCACUUUACCGUCGGCAUUUGUGAAGGAAGCGUGUUUAUCUGAAAUUCUAAGAAGAUGAGAGUCAAAGACACCCAGCAAACGGCGGUUUCCGUGAGCAGGGUUGGAGCCCAGGAAGCAAACCAGCACUGCACCCUAGAUUUCAGCCAGAGGACGAAAGCCCUGCCCUCAGCUUUCUCAGACCAGCCCUGGAGUAGGUGGCCCGGGGAGACCUGGGCAGUGUCCCUGCUUGUCCUGCAGACUGUGUGGCUCUGCAGACCUCUAGAUGGAGGAGGCACAAUUCUCUAAUGCUGGACGAGGACACUGAUCAUGGAAACUCACCCCAAACCUUGAAUCGUGAUAGCAUUUGAGGCAGCCUGACCGGUGCCACAUGAACCUGAAAGGAAUCAAGAUAUAAUUUAUUUUGAAAAUAAAUCAGACACUUUCAGAA